AUUGAACGCUGGCGGCAGGCCUAACACAUGCAAGUCGAGCGGUAGCACAGAGAGCAUGCUCUCGGGUGACGAGCGGCGGACGGGUGAGUAAUGUCUGGGAAACUGCCUGAUGGAGGGGGAUAACUACUGGAAACGGUAGCUAAUACCGCAUAACGUCGCAAGACCAAAGUGGGGGACCUUCGGGCCUCAUGCCAUCAGAUGUGCCCAGAUGGGAUUAGCUAGUAGGUGGGGUAAUGGCUCACCUAGGCGACGAUCCCUAGCUGGUCUGAGAGGAUGACCAGCCACACUGGAACUGAGACACGGUCCAGACUCCUACGGGAGGCAGCAGUGGGGAAUAUUGCACAAUGGGCGCAAGCCUGAUGCAGCCAUGCCGCGUGUGUGAAGAAGGCCUUCGGGUUGUAAAGCACUUUCAGCGGGGAGGAAGGCGAUAAGGUUAAUAACCUCAUCGAUUGACGUUACCCGCAGAAGAAGCACCGGCUAACUCCGUGCCAGCAGCCGCGGUAAUACGGAGGGUGCAAGCGUUAAUCGGAAUUACUGGGCGUAAAGCGCACGCAGGCGGUCUGUCAAGUCGGAUGUGAAAUCCCCGGGCUCAACCUGGGAACUGCAUUCGAAACUGGCAGGCUAGAGUCUUGUAGAGGGGGGUAGAAUUCCAGGUGUAGCGGUGAAAUGCGUAGAGAUCUGGAGGAAUACCGGUGGCGAAGGCGGCCCCCUGGACAAAGACUGACGCUCAGGUGCGAAAGCGUGGGGAGCAAACAGGAUUAGAUACCCUGGUAGUCCACGCCGUAAACGAUGUCGAUUUGGAGGUUGUGCCCUUGAGGCGUGGCUUCCGGAGCUAACGCGUUAAAUCGACCGCCUGGGGAGUACGGCCGCAAGGUUAAAACUCAAAUGAAUUGACGGGGGCCCGCACAAGCGGUGGAGCAUGUGGUUUAAUUCGAUGCAACGCGAAGAACCUUACCUGGUCUUGACAUCCACAGAACUUUCCAGAGAUGGAUUGGUGCCUUCGGGAACUGUGAGACAGGUGCUGCAUGGCUGUCGUCAGCUCGUGUUGUGAAAUGUUGGGUUAAGUCCCGCAACGAGCGCAACCCUUAUCCUUUGUUGCCAGCGGUCCGGCCGGGAACUCAAAGGAGACUGCCAGUGAUAAACUGGAGGAAGGUGGGGAUGACGUCAAGUCAUCAUGGCCCUUACGACCAGGGCUACACACGUGCUACAAUGGCAUAUACAAAGAGAAGCGACCUCGCGAGAGCAAGCGGACCUCAUAAAGUAUGUCGUAGUCCGGAUUGGAGUCUGCAACUCGACUCCAUGAAGUCGGAAUCGCUAGUAAUCGUAGAUCAGAAUGCUACGGUGAAUACGUUCCCGGGCCU
rnacentral:rRNA from 1 species